UACGGGGGGAGCAAGCGUUGUUCGGAUUUACUGGGCGUAAAGGGCGCGUAGGCGGUCAGCACAAGUCAGUUGUGAAAUCUCCGGGCUUAACUCGGAAAGGUCAACUGAUACUGUGCGACUAGAGUGCAGAAGGGGCAACUGGAAUUCUCGGUGUAGCGGUGAAAUGCGCAGAUAUCAGGAAGAACACCCGUGGCGAAGGCGGCUCUCUGGGACGGUACUGACGCUGAGACGCGAAAGCGUGGGGAGCGAACAGG
rnacentral:rRNA from 1 species